rnacentral:misc_RNA from 1 species
GGGCCAGGAGUCCAACCAAUCCAACCAGUUUACCGUGUAUGUACAUCGCUUCCUACAUUAGAAUAGACAACGACUGACUAUGUUCAAUGUAUGUGCCAAAUGGGUGGUAGGAGAGUGGCGGUGGCACUAAAUAGAUUUUAGAGGCAGUGAAAGGUAUGAGAAUCUCUCUCCGUCUUUGUGCCCUUGACCUUUGGUGACGCUGUCCAGAUGCAUGUUAUGCUGCAGAAACCUCAUCUGGAUCAUCAGGUAUUGGUAGAGGGGCAAGUUGUGGUAUUGGUAACUAUGUAAAUCGCCUUUCAUUUGAGCAUAUAAAGUGGCCCUUGCCCUUCGUUGAAUUUCACUGGCCAGUGGUUCUUGAAGCUGCCUAGUCUUAAUAAUUAUAUUCUUAGCCUCGUCUACCUGAAAGCAAAGUUAGAAGGAUGUAAAAUUAUCGUUAUAGUAUUAAAAUAUUUAAUUAGAAAAAUAGUAUUGUCUAGUGAUUAUCGCUAAAUCAACAACCACGCCUCUAUGUGGUAUCCACUUGCGAGAUAUGCACUGAUUCCUCUCCACAUGCUGUGAAUGGUAAUUGGUGAAGUUGAGCUAAUUAUCUCUUAAAUAACCUUAUUUGCGUGACAAUUCUAGAACUGGAUUCAACGUGCAUUCACCAUACCCCAAUUAGUAUUUGAUUCUCAUAAAGACGUGGAUUAAAGUUUAUCGUCUUGCAAUGGGUCAUAUGAUAUGGGUUAUUUAGGCUCAAAUUGACGCAUGACUCUGUCCAACUACUGCCACCCAGUAACAUGCAAACAAAUGAGUGGCACCAUGGAUCUCCACAUGUUCUUCCCUGCAAACAAUAAGUUGGGAGAUCCUGUAUAUCAUCGUUCAAAUAUGGUUCCUAAACUAUCUGCAAUUGGCAACAAGAGAUGAACACAUGGUGUUUAUAUUAGUUGAAAGAAAUAAAAAUUACAGACAAUAAUUAACAACAAAAAAUUUUAACCUCAUUUUAGCCCAUCCUGUAUAUCUUGUAUCUAAUUUAUACUGGCACAUGUGUUACCACAUUAGUUAUUUGUCAUGCUUGACCCUACCUGCAAUGUUAUAUGUUAACAAUUUUUAAUUAAUGAAAUAUUUAAAAACCAUUAACAAUAUAAUAAUCCAUCAUAUGUACCGGCUAUUCAGUGGUGCACUUUCAAGUGGCGAUCUGAUAGCAAUAGUCAGAGCGAGUGAUUUAAAUCAAUUCUAAGCCCAUAUUUAUAGUAUAUGUAGCAUUCCACCAAUUUGUUGCACGUUUAGAUCAGUCGCACGACAAAGC